ACCAUCGCUGUGGACGACUGGAUCGUGUUCCAGUCCCCCGCACGCAUCGCUCACCUCGUCAAGAAUCUGAAGAAGGAGCUGGACUCUCUAUUGGAAGAGAAGAUCCGAAGCCCCGCCCCUGUGGACUGGAGCAACCGCCAAUCCAAAGACUGUGCCGUCAUCACAGCCAUCAUAGACCUCAUCACCACCCAGGAGAGGCCCAACGUUAACGCGAGGAACACUGAGCCUAGAGGACGCCGCCAGUAUUACAACAACGAUGAUGGUGACGAGUACGAGAACUGCUGCAUCUCUUCUCAACCCAGAGAAAAGCUCAGGCCAUAGAGAUGGAAAGAGGUCUCCACUUUGUGUCUGUGCCAUAAUGGCGCUGCCCAUCUCAGUUUGAAUUAAGUGUCAAGCUAAUGUUGGUGAUUUACCUCCACUUGCAGAGCUGGAGUCUUAAACUAUAUAUUGUGUUAUUUUGGCGAUGAAGCUUAACGCCAUUUACCAACUAGGCAAACCAAUUUGAAGACCAUGGUCUGGUCAUUGGCUGAUCAUUCCCAUAGGAAUCCCCCACCCAGUUGACUACUUUUAAAUGGUGGAAGCCCUCAAUGUCCAUGCUAAAUUGUUUCCAAGUAGAGAUCUCUAUACAUCUCAAUGUCUUAGGCACAUUUUCUAUUGAAUAUGAGUCCAGUCAUGAUGUUAUGUGAAGAAAAGGUCCCCGAACACCAACUAUUUGAAUUUAAUUCUAUAAGCCUACUGGAAAAGGCUGAGCAUGUAUUUUGCAUUUGUUAAAAACAAUUAUGUGAAACUAAGUUGUAUGGAAUGCUGUUUUGUUGAUAUUGCUUGACAUUCUCAUGUUGUCAAAUGGCCCAUUUGGCUAAUGAAUGGUUAACUUGCCAUUGUUUUCUUUUCAGUUUUUGUUCAAAUAUUUGAAUCUUCUCCCUGAAGCUGAACCAAUAAAGCUGACCUUAUUGCA